UACGUAGGGUGCAAGCGUUGUCCGGAAUUAUUGGGCGUAAAGAGCUCGUAGGCGGUUUGUCGCGUCUGCUGUGAAAACUCAGGGCUUAACCCUGAGCUUGCAGUGGGUACGGGCAGACUAGAGUGCGGUAGGGGAGACUGGAAUUCCUGGUGUAGCGGUGAAAUGCGCAGAUAGUCAGGAGGAACACCGGUGGCGAAGGCGGGUCUCUGGGCCGUAACUGACGC
rnacentral:rRNA from 1 species